CAGACGCGAAAUGUGUUAUGACUUGCACUCUUUGUGAAUGAACGAAUCUUUGAACGCACCUUGUGCCAGUGGACAGCGCGGCUGUGCAUGGGCAUGACUGUUUGAGCAUCGCAUGGCGAGGUCAUCUGGGAUCAGAUGGAGAUGAGGCACUGCACAGGUGUAUACGUGUGUGGUGUCUUGAAAGAGAGGCAGCGCAGGGCUGUGCCUUGUGGCGGCGGAUCAGGCAAGAGUGCUGGUCGGCAUGAGGCGCGGCAUGCGAGGGAGUUGGAGGGUGGAGGGUGACUAGAAAAGAGGUUCUCUUCCUUGCUCGUCACCCACCUACCCACCCCACCACUCAUCACAAACUCGAUCUCAAAUCAGUCAAGAGCACCCGCUGAACUUAA
rnacentral:misc_RNA from 1 species